rfam:Ixodes scapularis strain Wikel colony gcontig_1108379607420, whole genome shotgun sequence.
GUACUUCCAAAGUUCAUAUACUAAAAUUGAAACGAUACAGAGAAGAUUAGCAUGGGCGCUGCGCAAGGAUGACACGCAUUUCUCCUACCACGGCCCUUU